GUUUACCACCUGCCUUGGCUCCUUGGUGUUGCCAGACCCUGAAGGCAGCCCAUGCCCUGGCUGAGAUCCUUCUGGGGCAGGAUGUGCUGGAAGCAGCUGAAACAUGUGAUGAGGGCAACUUUGUGUGCAAAACUCAGAGAGCAGUUACUCAAAAAAAAGACACCCGGGCAGCAGUAACCAGGACACCAGGGUCCGACCACGGCCUCCACACACCUGUGCCCGUGGAAGACGCGGGCGCCGGGGUAGGCAGCAUCCACGUGCUCCACAGCUGCUGGUGCUGGGCAGGCUGGAGACUCACGGGAGAGGCAGGAGGAGAAUCAGCGUGUUGAGUCCCUCGCUGUGUUAGUGUGAAAAAUUCUCAUUACAGUUGCAAAUAAAAGGGAUCACGAUCACUAGCCCCGGAAACCCUCAUCUCCCGGACCAUCAGGAUCGCACUGAACAGAAUGGUCCCCUAAUGGUCCCUGAGGACAGCGUCUUGCAGAACAUAAAUGUAAACAUUGAAUGGCAGACGACUCCCUUCCCCUUGAAAUCUUCACAAAAGUGUGUACGAGAAAGUAUGUACAUCAGCACUUCAGAAAAGGGGCCCACAGGACGUGUGCGGGGUGUGCAGGGUGUGCGGGGUGUGCGGGGUGUUUGAGGGUCCGGAUGUGCGUCCCGAGGUCGG
rnacentral:lncRNA from 1 species